UACGUAGGGGGCAAGCGUUGUCCGGAUUUAUUGGGCGUAAAGAGCUCGUAGGCGGUCUGUCGCGUCGGAUGUGAAAAUCCAGGGCUCAACCCUGGACCUGCAUUCGAUACGGGCAGACUAGAGUUCGGUAGGGGAGACUGGAAUUCCUGGUGUAGCGGUGAAAUGCGCAGAUAUCAGGAGGAACACCGGUGGCGAAGGCGGGUCUCUGGGCCGAAACUGACGCUGAGGAGCGAAAGCGUGGGGAGCAAACAGG
rnacentral:rRNA from 1 species